rnacentral:rRNA from 1 species
CCAGACUCCUACGGGAGGCAGCAGUAGGGAAUCUUCGGCAAUGGACGAAAGUCUGACCGAGCAACGCCGCGUGAGUGAAGAAGGUUUUCGGAUCGUAAAACUCUGUUGGUAGAGAAGAACGUUGGUGAGAGUGGAAAGCUCAUCAAGUGACGGUAACUACCCAGAAAGGGACGGCUAACUACGUGCCAGCAGCCGCGGUAAUACGUAGGUCCCGAGCGUUGUCCGGAUUUAUUGGGCGUAAAGCGAGCGCAGGUGGUUUAUUAAGUCUGGUGUAAAAGGCAGUGGCUCAACCAUUGUAUGCAUUGGAAACUGGUAGACUUGAGUGCAGGAGAGGAGAGUGGAAUUCCAUGUGUAGCGGUGAAAUGCGUAGAUAUAUGGAGGAACACCGGUGGCGAAAGCGGCUCUCUGGCCUGUAACUGACACUGAGGCUCGAAAGCGUGGGGAGCAAACAGGAUUAGAUACCCUGGUAGUCCACGCCGUACACGAUGAGUGCUAGAUGUAGGGAACUAUAAGUUCUCUGUAUCGCAGCUAACGCAAUAAGCACUCCGCCUGGGGAGUAC